UAGGACUAGUGACAUGUUAAAAGAAUAAAGUUUGUAGUUAAAAUUAUGCACAAAAAAACAACAAAUGUUGACGGAGGAUAACGACUCACAAGCAUUUUGCGAGAUUACAGCAGGAAACUCUUGAAGAUAAAACAAAACAAAAUGGUACUUAUGUUCUUGAGGAUUGGAAUCAAACUUCUGCGGUGGAUGAUGACGUAGAACGAGUCCAAGAAAACUUAAGAACACAAAAGAACGCACAUUGAGAAACAGCAAAAGUCUCUGGUUUAGUUAAGUGACUCACUUCUGUACUACUGUACCUACAACAAAUAAAACACUAUAUUUUUCAUGUUUAAUAUAUUAAUUGUUGAAAGUGGUGUGUUUUGAGCCCUUGAAGCUGCACUGAAACUAACUUUGAAGAGGAACACGUCGAUGAGGAGGAGGAUGAUGAAGAUGACAAUGGAAGUAUAAUAUGGAAUAACGGGGGGAAUCUAAACAGAAGCUCAUUAGAAAACGACUCACCCUCAUCUCAUCCUAUUUGUCUACUGUAAAGAGAAACUCCCAAACCAAGAAUUCAUGGGAUGAAGAUGUGGAAAGACAUGUUGCACAGGGAUCAUGAAAAGCCUAUGAUAGAGGUGGUGGAAGGAGAAAAUGAGCAAAGGCCAGCGUUGAGUAAUUUACUUAAAAUUAUUCACGAUCAGUUUAUUUCAAGCAAAAGGUUUAAAUUAUUUAAAUAUGUUUACGUUUGCUCAGUAUUAAAUGAGGUCAAUUAAUGCCAAAGACAAGCUGAUUUGCCUUUUACCAAACUGUAUUGUUUGAAACAUAUUAAUUUUGUUUAGACCUGCUAAAUUUUUUAAGUUCAUUCUCCUGAUUUAAGUUUAAUUAAAUACUUAAAAUAUAUUCUGAAGUCAUAAUAUGUACUUGUAUA